UUAAAGUGGGAUUACUAUUACUUAAGGUUGGCACGUGAAUGCCAGUCUAACUUUUUGGAAUCUGAGUUUAAGAUUAAGCAGUUAAUAUAGGAUCAAAUGAACACAGAUCACUUUUGAGAGAAUCAGUGUGCCCUUUUUAGAAAAGUGAUUUUUCCUCCCAGCCUGUUUGAAUGUAGCUGUAGCAUUGUGGUUAGGAAUAUACGCACCCUGAGGUACCGGACGGCAUGGGUUCAAAUCCCAGCUCUGCCAUGUACUUUACUACCUUUGUUAUCUUGAACAAUUUCUUAACCUUGCUAAGCCUAGGUUUCCUAUAAAAUGGGAUUAAUAACAAUUCCUCUACCCCAUCGGGUUGUCCAAAGCAUCAAAUAAGGUAAUACAUCAGUUCCUGAAACAGUAGGCAUUCCACAACUGUUAGCUCUUACAUUCCAUGUCCAAACCAUCACUAACGCUGUCUUUCUGGGGCUUAAUAUUACAUAGGUCUCUCAAACUUCUUCCCAAGUGUAUUCUACACUAAGAGGAAUGACUGCAGCAUUUUCCUGAGCUAUGGCAGUCAGACCUGGUAGCAGUAACUUCUCUGCAGAACCCCCUAACCUGGCAAGGAUGAUUCAGAUGUUGGCAGAUUAUGGCUUCAUCCCCACCCAGCACUGAUGUUAUCAGCAGAGGAAUCUCAUUGAUCCCUGGAGAAGGGAGCGUCAACCAACUUGAGGAUCUACUAUUUAGUUAUAGAGAGGAAUGGAGAGGGAGAGAUAGAAACAUCAAUGAUGAAAGAGAAU